rnacentral:rRNA from 1 species
AUGAACGCUGGCGGCGUGCCUAAUACAUGCAGGUCGAGCGAACAGACGAGGAGCUUGCUCCUCUGACGUUAGCGGCGGACGGGUGAGUAACACGUGGAUAACCUACCUAUAAGACUGGGAUAACUUCGGGAAACCGGAGCUAAUACCGGAUAAUAUAUUGAACCGCAUGGUUCAAUAGUGAAAGACGGUUUUGCUGUCACUUAUAGAUGGAUCCGCGCCGCAUUAGCUAGUUGGUAAGGUAACGGCUUACCAAGGCAACGAUGCGUAGCCGACCUGAGAGGGUGAUCGGCCACACUGGAACUGAGACACGGUCCAGACUCCUACGGGAGGCAGCAGUAGGGAAUCUUCCGCAAUGGGCGAAGGCUUGACGGAGCAACGCCGCGUGAGUGAUGAAGGUCUUCGGAUCGUAAAACUCUGUUAUUAGGGAAGAACAAAUGUGUAAGUAACUAUGCACGUCUUGACGGUACCUAAUCAGAAAGCCACGGCUAACUACGUG